ensembl:lncRNA
GGGGAAACAAUUUUUGACGGGGGUAACUACUUUGGCACAACACCGGCUUUGUUACCCUCUAGUCUCCGUGUACUUCAGAUACAUGUAUUUAUGCUGUUUUUAUGCGUAAUAAAAGGAAUAAAACACUAAUCUUGGCACGUCGCCUCCAGCAGGAAGUGAUCCGCUCAGCAGGCACUGCUCUCGUUAGCUACCAGGUUCAUUUGACGGGGAAAGAAAAAUGAGCCAGAAACAGCAGAAAACGACAUCCGUCCCCACAGUCUGUGCGGUCAGGGAGAUAGCGACCUUAGAGAGUUGAUACCCAGGCAUAUGUACACGCCGCAGUUUGGAAACAACAUCUGCACUUCAGGUACGCUGGAUUCUUCUGAUACUCACUUAAAUGUGUCCCUGGUGUCCAGCAGGCUGAAGAUCGACAUCUGGAGUUUCUCUCUGAAGCCUGACUUCCUCCUUGUGCUUCUGUGGCUUAUGCGGCCAUAAAUUCGUCACCAUGGCGACCAGCUGGAUUAUUGAAAGUCCCCCGUCUGACUUUCUGAGUGUUCACUGUGGCUCUGCUCUGCAGCUGGUCUCCUUUUCCACUUUGCAGUCACUUGAUGUUGAAGAGAGGAAAGCCAGAGGAACAACGAUCCCAGAUGUUACAGCUGCUGUUACAAGGAUCGCUGUGAUCACUGUGAUCCAUGUCCUAUCAGAGGACUCUGAUGGCUGUGAGGACAAGAAGACAGAAACCAGCGCGCAGAUUUCACCGACUGGCCCGCGGUGACGGAGCGGCACGGGAGUGUGGCAUCCUCGCCCUCGGAUACAUCAACUUCAGAGGGGACAAAUACUUCCAGCUUGAUCGCUUCCAAGUCUUUGCCGUUGCACGUAAACUCGUACAGCCCUUCGUCGUUCAGAUCUGCGUUUUCCAGGAUGAGAGAGAGCCCUCUUUGAUUCACGCGGUCUGGAUGUUGUGGUCCGGGUUUCCAGACGUUUUCCAGGGAGGCGAUCAGCUGCGUGGUGGCAUCAUUCCUUCGCAGAUUCAGUCUCCCGCGUCCCUUCAGGCACUCCUCUGACAGCAGAAACUCAACUCCAUCUCCUAAAGGAGUUUGGAUCAACUUUCCGAAAACCUCUCUGCAUAAAAAUAAAAGAAUGCACAAAAAGCCCAGAGUCUUCAUCCUGUGAAUGAGGCGGUAGAGUGUCUUUCCUCCACAGCAGCGCUAAAUAAGGAGAACGUUACGUAGGCAGAGUAGCGUUUACUCCCUCGAGGGCAGCACCGCCCACCGAAGAGCGGCAGCUUUAGUGCCUCGCCCAGGUACCUUGGAUUGCUGAAUUCCUGAUUCCUGAAUCACAAAGCUGUUUAUUUUGUUGUUGUUGUUGGAUACACUGUAAUAAAAAGUAUGUAAAGUGGUGAUCUGUGUUGGGGUCCUUAAUGCUGACUGAAAAUAGUUUGUGACUUCUUAAUGAAAAGUGCCUUUAAAACUCUUUAUUUAAAUAAACAGAAAAUAUGCUUUUAAAA